rnacentral:rRNA from 1 species
GAUGAACGCUGGCGGCGUGCUUAACACAUGCAAGUCGAACGAAGCAAUCAGACGGAAGUUUUCGGAUGGAAGACUGAUUGACUGAGUGGCGGACGGGUGAGUAACGCGUGGGUAACCUGCCUCAUACAGGGGGAUAACAGUUAGAAAUGACUGCUAAUACCGCAUAAGCGCACAGUAUCGCAUGAUACAGUGUGAAAAACUCCGGUGGUAUGAGAUGGACCCGCGUCUGAUUAGCUAGUUGGUAAGGUAACGGCUUACCAAGGCGACGAUCAGUAGCGGACCUGAGAGGGUGACCGGCCACAUUGGGACUGAGACACGGCCCAAACUCCUACGGGAGGCAGCAGUGGGGAAUAUUGCACAAUGGGGGAAACCCUGAUGCAGCGACGCCGCGUGGGUGAAGACGGCCUUCGGGUUGUAAAGCCCUGUGAUGGGGGACGAUAAUGACGGUACCCCAUCAGAAAGCCACGGCUAACUACGUGCCAGCAGCCGCAGUAACAC